CCUAAUACAUGCAAGUCGAGCGAAUGGAUUAAGAGCUUGCUCUUAUGAAGUUAGCGGCGGACGGGUGAGUAACACGUGGGUAACCUACCCAUAAGACUGGGAUAACUCCGGGAAACCGGGGCUAAUACCGGAUAAUAUUUUGAACUGCAUAGUUCGAAAUUGAAAGGCGGCUUCGGCUGUCACUUAUGGAUGGACCCGCGUCGCAUUAGCUAGUUGGUGAGGUAACGGCUCACCAAGGCAACGAUGCGUAGCCGACCUGAGAGGGUGAUCGGCCACACUGGGACUGAGACACGGCCCAGACUCCUACGGGAGGCAGCAGUAGGGAAUCUUCCGCAAUGGACGAAAGUCUGACGGAGCAACGCCGCGUGAGUGAUGAAGGCUUUCGGGUCGUAAAACUCUGUUGUUAGGGAAGAACAAGUGCUAGUUGAAUAAGCUGGCACCUUGACGGUACCUAACCAGAAAGCCACGGCUAACUACGUGCCAGCAGCCGCGGUAAUACGUAGGUGGCAAGCGUUAUCCGGAAUUAUUGGGCGUAAAGCGCGCGCAGGUGGUUUCUUAAGUCUGAUGUGAAAGCCCACGGCUCAACCGUGGAGGGUCAUUGGAAACUGGGAGACUUGAGUGCAGAAGAGGAAAGUGGAAUUCCAUGUGUAGCGGUGAAAUGCGUAGAGAUAUGGAGGAACACCAGUGGCGAAGGCGACUUUCUGGUCUGUAACUGAC
rnacentral:rRNA from 2 species